UCUUUUCUUGGUAAUGUGUUUGCAAACUCUGAACAAAAAUGAAAAUAAAGAAGUAUAAAUUACUUCUGCUGUCUGAUCCAAGCGUGUAGAAAAGCUGCAGGUGAAGCUACAAGCUAAAAUUCACGAGAGGGUCAGAACUGAUUUUAUAGGUAAUUAGCAGGGGAAGUUGUGUUGUCACCACACUACACACUGGCUAGGAAAAGAGAAGUGUCUCUGUGUCCUUUACUCAUUCACUGCUUGGUCUUGCUCAGACGUGUUCUCUGAGGCUGGAAUAUCAGGAUCUAUUUGCCAACAUCUCCUGCCUGUUUUCUGUGUACAGGCAGAAGAGGACUGUCAAGAUCUCUGCUCUUCUCCUUUGGAGUGCUGGCAGCAAAGGAAGACAAUUGGGCUGCAGAACUACAGAGCUGAAUAUGCUUGUUGCCUCCUUCACCACCAGGAACAAAAUAGAAUCAGAGGCUUGUGCAUAUUGUUGCAUUUUAAGCUUCCAACACUGUCACGUCUAUGUCUGACAAAGAGUAAGCAAUUAAAGACUGACAAGUGUGGAAUUUAUUAUGGCCCUUUGCAUGAACUGACUCUAAGGUCCCUCUUAGAUUUCCAGGAAAUAAAGUUACCAAUGCACAUGGUGGUCUAACACCAGCUUUGAAAGCUGGUAGUUAACUGCAGCUGUAGAAUGUGAAUUAUCGACGCCUUCCUUAAUAUUUAGCAUUCUGCUUUUGGUCUAUGUCUUUCUUCUCAAUGUCAACAUUGUAUUUGUAUAAACAUCUUAGAUAUGACUAUUUCAUACAGCAGAGUCUCAGAUGGGCAUUUUCAAAGUGAAAUGGCUCAUCAAAGACAUCUUAUGAGAUAGUGUCUCCCAGCAAAAGAAUAUGGAGUCAAUGAGAAUCUUCCUUAAACUGUGGGAGACUUCUGAGUGAGAUCAUAUUCAGUUUAGGGUAAAAGCAUUCAUGAAAAUGACUACACUUUAAAGUGUUUUUGUGAACAAUGGUUUUGUGUCCUCUGUCAUGCUCCACACUUGUUUAUGAUAUAAAAACAGGCAGAUUUUCACAGAUAAAGUUUUUAAUCCAAAAUAUGCUUGUAGAGACACAAAUGUCAAAAAAAGACAUAUACCAACAAAGUCAUAAAAGAAUAAAAUAAACUCCCAACAUUACA
rnacentral:lncRNA from 1 species